GCUAACUAGGUGCCAGCGGCGGCGGUAGAAAGGGGGUGGGGGACGUUAUACGGAAUUACUGGGCGUAAAGCGAGUGUAGGUGGCUCAUUAAGUCACAUGUGAAAUCCCCGGGCUGAACCUGGGAACUGCAUGUGAUACUGGUGGUGCUAGAAUAUGUGAGAGGGAAGUAGAAUUCCAGGUGUAGCGGUGAAAUGCGUAGAGAUCUGGAGGAAUACCGAUGGCGAAGGCAGCUUCCUGGCAUAAUAUUGACACUGAGAUUCGAAAGCGUGGGUAGCAAACAGGAUUAGAACCCGGGUAGUC
rnacentral:rRNA from 1 species